rnacentral:rRNA from 1 species
CGGAGGGUGCAAGCGUUGUCCGGAUUUAUUGGGUUUAAAGGGUGCGUAGGUGGCCUUAUAAGUCAGCGGUGAAAGUCUGCAGCUUAACUGUAGAACUGCCAUUGAUACUGUAAGGCUUGAGUACUGAUGAGGUAGGCGGAAUUGAUAGUGUAGCGGUGAAAUGCAUAGAUAUUAUCAAGAACACCGAUUGCGAAGGCAGCUUACUAAGGAGUUACUGACACUGAGGCACGAAAGCGUGGGGGAUCAAACAGGAUUAGAUACCCUGGUAGUCCACGCCAUAAACGAUGAUUACUCGAUGUAUGCGAUAGACUGUAUGCGUCCAAGCGAAAGCGUUAAGUAAUCCACCUGGGGAGUACGACCGCAAGGUUG